GCUGAUUCUAGAUCUUGAAAGCCACUGAUGUGAACUCAUUGUUGUCACCAUGACUGAAGCCCUCAUUUCGGCUGUCCUGAAUUUGACUGAAACCAAUGCACUGGCCAACAAUGUGACCAGCAAUGCCACUAACAAGUGUUCCUUGACCAAAACCGGUUUUCAGUUCUAUUACUUGCCAGCUGUCUAUAUCGUAGUCUUCAUCACUGGAUUCCUAGGCAACAGCGUGGCCAUCUGGAUGUUUGUCUUCCACAUGAGGCCAUGGAGUGGCAUCUCAGUUUACAUGUUCAAUUUAGCCCUAGCAGACUUCUUGUACGUCCUGACACUCCCUGCCCUAAUAUUCUACUACUUCAAUCAAACGGACUGGAUCUUUGGAGAUUUCAUGUGCAAGCUGCAGAGAUUUAUCUUUCAUGUCAAUCUAUAUGGAAGCAUCUUGUUCCUCACAUGUAUCAGUGUGCACAGAUACACUGGGGUGGUGCAUCCUUUGAAAUCAUUAGGGAGACUGAAAAAAAAGAAUGCUGUUUACAUCAGCGCCCUGGUCUGGGUUAUCGUGGUGGUGGCAAUCUCUCCCAUCUUCUUUUACUCUGGAACUGAAGUAAGGAAAGUCAAAACCAUGGCGUGCUAUGACACAACAGUAGACAAUUACCUGCGUAGCUACUUUAUUUACAGCAUGUGCACCACUGUCUUCUUGUUUUGCAUCCCGUUCAUUCUGAUCCUCGGUUGCUAUGGAUUAAUCGUGAAAGCACUGAUUUACAAAGAUUUAGACAAUUCUCCGCUUAGGAGGAAAUCAAUUUACUUGGUUAUUAUAGUGUUGGCAGUAUUUGCUGUGUCUUAUCUUCCUUUCCACGUGAUGAAAAACUUGAAUCUACGCGCCCGGCUGGAUUUUCAGACUCCGGAAAUGUGUGCAUUUAACAACAGGGUUUAUGCUACCUACCAAGUAACUCGAGGGCUAGCGAGUCUCAACAGCUGCGUGGAUCCUAUUUUAUAUUUUUUGGCUGGAGACACUUUUCGUAGAAAGCUCUCAAGGGCAACUCGGAAAGCCUCAAGACGGAGUGAGCUCAAUGUGCAAUCCAAAAGAAUCUGGUAACAGGAAAGAUCUUUAGAAUGGACUUCUCUUGCUUCAGAAGAUGCUACAUCAGGGAUAUAGAGGCUACCGGAUCAGACGAAUGAAAUGAAAACAUUCACAAACUGCCAAUAAUGUGAAUCUCACCAACUCUGUGAGAUGAGCUGGGCUGAGACAGACUGAUUGGUCCACAGUCACUCAGCUGGUUUUCAUGUCUACAGUGGGACUAGAACUCACAGUCUCCUGGUUUCUAACCUGUGGCCUCUAGACAAAGCUGGCUCUACUUUUGUUUCUUCCUUUUGAAUUAGUUGAUGGUGUAAUUGCUCUAAAAUUUCCAAAUCCUGUUGAGGAGUUCUGACAUGCAUCAUUCCCCUUGGAUGAAAAAUUCCUGAAAAUACUGAUGGGGAUCCACUGCUAGAAUUUGAGUCAAAACCAAUUCCCUCAAAGCCCAAUUAAGAUGCGAAUCGCAAAACCAUCUAUAGUGCUUCAUCCACCCACUUCUCUCUACAAUAAUUCUCACUGUCAGCAAAACUAGUGACAUAAGAGUCUGGAUAUCUGCAUCUCAUUCAUUCUUUGCUUUGCAACUUGACCUAGGAAUGAAAAGAAAAUUGUAUAUUGCAUUAGCAUUUAAAAUUAAGAAGUAAGAAAGAAGAAAAGAAGGGAGAAAAAUAACUGGAAAACAUGCAGCAUUAACAUGGUAAAUGACUACUUAAAUGAAAAUGCAUCUUCACUGAGCAUGUUGGGCUGAGCAUAAUGUGGUACAGGGUUUUUCUCUCUCUCAGUACAGCACAGUGUGUACUGAAAAUUCCUCCAAAUUUGUAACAAGUGAAUGAAAGGAAAGCUGUUCUCACACACACAAUGAGCUUCACACGGAUUCAAAAGAAGCUUGACCCUGAGACCAGCCCUGAAAUGCUCCCAGCCCUGUCUUCCAAACUCAGCCAAGAAACCAACUACUGCCAAAUACUCUGACGAUAAUCACUCUUUUGUUUGGGUUCUACUUGGCGAGAUCACUAACCUUCUCCAACAUGCAAAUCUAUAUGCCAGCUUUUACAUCCAUCGCUCAACACAAAGAUGGGUACUAUUGUCUUCCUUAAUACAUUGCUUCCGGUGCUUCAAAGGAGUAAUGAAAAAGCAUCUUCUUAACUGCCUUCCUUAAGAUUAGCAGUGAAGGGCCCAACAUGACUCUAGGGCAGGAGCUCCAUAAGGCUGGCGUGACAGUUACAAGUGCUUUUUCCCCCCCACCAGAGCCUCAAACUCAACCAUAUGUGAUUUGGAAAGUCUUCUACAUAUUAUCUGAGCUUGCAUACAAAGGAUGGUAGAUGCCACUUGUAAUAGACAGUCUCCUAGAUAAUGCAAGUAAUAAGUAAUAUAAAAUAAGAUUUACAGGUACAAAUCCUAUUUGUUUAAUGGAUCUUACUGUGGUUAACAGCAUCUAGCAUAGACAACUGUGCAAGGGAACACAACUCUAAUUGCUUGCUAAUAGAAAACCUCUGAAUAAGACACUAAAGAUUAUGUCACUGAUCAAUAUGAAUGACUGCAACUAAGCUGCGACAUUUUUCAAAUAGAUGAGUGGUCUAUUAGCACUUCAGUGACAGGAAGUUGUUCUGAAAUAAAAAAAGAGCAAUUCCAUAUAAGAAUGUGUUGGAUGCCAGCCAAAUACACACAGAGACAAGACAGCCAUUCAUGCAUAUUCUUAAGAUCAUUGGAUCCUCAGCACAAUCAUAGUUUUGCCAUUCUCAAUCUUAUUUGUAACUCCCAGCAUUUCCAGCAGUAGGAGACCUACAUACAAUAUCCCAUUUUACAGAGGACACUCCUCUAUAUCUGAAGGACAGUUUAUCCAUGCCCCAUUUUAAAGAAGGCUAGAUAUCACUAAUUAUCACGUCAGCAGAUUAAAUAGGUAGCGCAGAAGUUAUUUUGGUAGUUUUCCUUACUGUGGUGUUGUGUAUGUACAUGAACAGAUAUAUUAAGAGUUCUACUCUAUUAUAAUAAAAGCACUUCUCAUGAUAUA